UGGGGUGGAGUAUCCCUUUAAUGACGGAUGCUUUUCAGAGUCUUUGCGGUCCGCAGGAGAAUAUGCACCUGCUUCAGACACAGUUGAUGUGUUUUACUGCUUGGCAUGGAUAUUCUUCUGGCGGCUAUAGAGAUACUGACCAACCCAUCUGGACACCAGGAGCACUUGAUUAAGGUGAAUGAAGAGAAGCCAGAUCCAAGCCCACCUUCUUGUGAUCAUCUCAGUGAUUUGUGUGGAGCU